rnacentral:rRNA from 1 species
UACGUAGGGGGCUAGCGUUGUCCGGAAUCAUUGGGCGUAAAGAGCGUGUAGGCGGCCAUGUAAGUCGGGUGUGAAAGCCCCGGGCUCAACCUGGGAAUGGCAUUGGAAACUGGCGGACUCGAGUGUGGCAGAGGGGGGUGGAAUUCCGCGUGUAGCAGUGAAAUGCGUAGAGAUGCGGAGGAACACCGAUGGCGAAGGCAGCCCCCUGGGCUAACACUGACGCUCAGGCACGAAAGCGUGGGGAGCAAACAGG